UACGGAGGGGGCUAGCGUUGUUCGGAAUUACUGGGCGUAAAGCGCACGUAGGCGGCUUUGCAAGUCAGAGGUGAAAGCCCGGGGCUCAACCCCGGAAUAGCCUUUGAGACUGCAUCGCUAGAAUUGUGGAGAGGUAAGUGGAAUUCCGAGCGUAGAGGUGAAAUUCGUAGAUAUUCGGAAGAACACCAGUGGCGAAGGCGACUGACUGGACAAGUAUUGACGCUGAGGUGCGAAAGCGUGGGGAGCAAACAGG
rnacentral:rRNA from 1 species